rnacentral:rRNA from 1 species
GAUGAACGCUGGCGGCGUGCCUAAUACAUGCAAGUCGAGCGAACAGACGAGGAGCUUGCUCCUCUGACGUUAGCGGCGGACGGGUGAGUAACACGUGGAUAACCUACCUCUCAGACUGGGAUAACUUCGGGAAACCGGAGCUAAUACCGGAUAAUAUAUUGAACCGCAUGGUUCAAUAGUGAAAGACGGUUUUGCUGUCACUUAUAGAUGGAUCCGCGCCGCAUUAGCUAGUUGGUAAGGUAACGGCUUACCAAGGCGACGAUGCGUAGCCGACCUGAGAGGGUGAUCGGCCACACUGGAACUGAGACACGGUCCAGACUCCUACGGGAGGCAGCAGUAGGGAAUCUUCCGCAAUGGGCGAAAGCCUGACGGAGCAACGCCGCGUGAGUGAUGAAGGUCUUCGGAUCGUAAAACUCUGUUAUUAGGGAAGAACAAAUGUGUAAGUAACUAUGCACGUCUUGACGGUACCUAAUCAGAAAGCCACGGCUAACUACGUG